AGUGAACGCUGGCGGUAGGCCUAACACAUGCAAGUCGAACGGCAGCACAGUAAGAGCUUGCUCUUACGGGUGGCGAGUGGCGGACGGGUGAGGAAUACAUCGGAAUCUACUUUUUCGUGGGGGAUAACGUAGGGAAACUUACGCUAAUACCGCAUACGACCUACGGUUGAAAGCAGGGGAUCUUCGGACCUUGCGCGAUUGAAUGAGCCGAUGUCGGAUUAGCUAGUUGGCGGGGUAAAGGCCCACCAAGGCGACGAUCCGUAGCUGGUCUGAGAGGAUGAUCAGCCACACUGGAACUGAGACACGGUCCAGACUACUACGGGAGGCAGCAGUGGGGAAUAUUGGACAAUGGGCGCAAGCCUGAUCCAGCCAUACCGCGUGGGUGAAGAAGGCCUUCGGGUUGUAAAGCCCUUUUGUUGGGAAAGAAAAGCAGCAGGUUAAUACCCCGCUGUUCUGACGGUACCCAAAGAAUAAGCACCGGCUAACUUCGUG
rnacentral:rRNA from 1 species